GUGGGGCUGCACAUGACGGAGGGGAAUGCUAGCAGCAGCUGAACAUCUGUCUAACUCAGCAGCCAGCUGAGCAGUAGAACUUGGGAUGGCCCCUGUCCUAUCCCACUGAACAGCCAGGAACAGCUGUGGAGCAGUCUUCUCUGAGGAGAAAACAUUCCUUCCGGUAGGGGGGCUCCUCAGGCAGAGAGGUAAACAGCCCAAAACAAGAGCUUCAAGAGCUCCCUGAAACUGAGCGGAUUCCCCAGGCCCCUUCCUGCCGGCCUCAGCAGAACCCAGCUGCAAGAAGACUCUUAGACAAGUAGAGUUGCCUGCUGGUUAGACUAACUGAUGCCCCGGGAAAGGAGACUCUCCAUCCAACCUGUCACACUGUCUGUAGACCAUGCGGCGGGCUCCAGGUUCCCAGUUUUGUGAGCUGUCAUCCAUGCUAGGGGGUGGACUUUGGCAACACAGCUGUCUGUGAGUCAUUUCUGUUUCUGUAAGUUAACUCUUCACCCAUAUUCUUGUAAAUAACCCUAAUAAAGCUUACUGGGUCACC
rnacentral:lncRNA from 1 species